rnacentral:lncRNA from 1 species
GUCUCAGCCAAGGACAGGGCUCUGUGCCAACGUCACAACCAUAUUUGUGCCAAAUGAGACCAGAGGAGGGAUGGUCUGAAGAGGGACGGGUGGCAAAGGAGGAGUCCCGAGAGGUCCAACCCUUCAAGAGGAGGGAGAAAUAUCAAGUGACAAACAGAGAAGCAAAGAGCUGAAGAGGCGGGUGAUGAAUUUGGGUGAAAACCACAGCAACCAUCGCUCUCUGCAUGUCAGACACUCUCAAGAAUCCCUCUGUGUGGCAGCACGAGGCUCCAUUUUUCCCAGCUCUGAAGUGAAGCAGACAAGGCAGGGAUAACCCUUCAGUCCUGCUCUGCACUUCAACACAAAGAGCGUCAGUGCAGGUUUCUUUCCACAGAAGGAAUGCUAUUGAUUUUUCUUCUGCUGAUCUAAUCUGUCUGGAUUUCCCCUCCGUCAGCUGUGCUCCUGCGUCAUUUGUAGCUCAGCAGAGGCAGUGACGACAAGUGAUGCUGACCCAACUCCAGCUCCAAAACGAACCCAACCCUCGCAGAGCCCUCAGUCUCCCUUUGCAGAGCGAAGCUCUCUGCCUCUUCUGCUGUCAAGUGGGAUUAGAAAAAAAUAUCUUUUUUUUUUUUUCUCCUCUGCGGCCUGUCUGGCUUCAUAAAUCAUUCAUGUAAUUCCUGGCUUCUUCAAGAUGAAGUGGGUUCAGUUUAAAGCCAUUAUUAUUCUCUGUGGGACAGAUCUUCACUAGAUGAAAGAAUGGUUCUUGUUGGCUUUACGCACAGAUUUUGAGGCUGAAAUGGAUAAUUGUGUUUGUGUAAUUGGGCUCCCAAAAGAAUUCAGGCCAUAGAGUUUGGCUGAAUUAAUUUGCACCUUGAGCACACAGGUUUCAGAAUGGAAGACGCUAUGAACUGCAUCAAAUCUUCCCUGGUUGUCCAUGGCCAGGAGCAGCAUCACAGCAGGCACAGUGUGCUCCAACCCUUGGUAGCUGCUGGCCCAUCCACGGGCUCCCCGACUUCUGUUGGUUGUCAGAGGAUCCCAGUGAACCUCAUUCACACCAGCUACCAUCCCCCGUUCCAACUCCUCCAGGCUGUCCCAUCCAUCUGAGAUCAAGGUGACGUCCCUGUCCCUCAACUUGGAUCACACUGGGUAUGAUUUGGUGGUGGGACCAAACAGAGGACACAGUGCUCUUUCUCCAGAAGCGAUGCUCAGCAUGGUGCACUCAUCAUCCAUGCCCGAGCCCUUGACCCUCAUGCACCUUCUUGCUUCUCAUUAGUUGUGCGUAAAACAUUAAUUUUGUACAAAAGAGAGAAGGAAAGAAGAUCCCAUUUAUUCGGCCAGCCCUUCUCUGUUCUCAUUGCCCCUUAGAGCAAUCAGAAAUGUCCAACAGGACCCAACCAUGAGUGCUGAAACUAAAACCCAUCUGCAGAUCACCAAAGGUGGACAACCACUUCCCCCUUGGCAUUUUUAGGCCAUCACAUCACACCAUCCGCAGGAAUAGCCAGCUAUUCCUUCCAGCUAAUGGCCAGCUAUAGCCAGCCUUCACAACCAGGGUGAUAUUUCUGUAGAAAAUAACUCUAAAUACAAUAAAACACAAAAUGAGAAUGAGAGCUGCUGUGGGCUUACUUGGAGGGCAUUUCUGUUUCUCUCCGCAUCUUUCCAGCCAAAUUUCUUCUUCUUCCACACAUCCAUCCUUCUAGGAAAGCUGUUCUUUUAGGGAUGAUCAUUGACUUUAGAGCUGUACACGAAUAAGACUCCAUGGAAGAAACCCAGUGUCCUGUUGCAGGAAUGUGGACCCAUGUGCAGAGGGGUAACUGCAGACAGGCAGAUGUCCUUCUGAGCACCCAAGGACAGGAGCCUCUGUAGCACAGGGGUUUCAGGAGAUCACUCAG